AAGUCGUAACAAGGUAACCGUAGGUGAACCUGCGGUUGGAUCAUUAGUAAAUUUUGGGAACCUUUUGUUCUCCAACACUGUGUGCACCAUUGUCUGUCUCUGGCGGAACCAGGAGGUUCGGAAUCGACCUUGCACCCGGAAACGGGGGUUUUGGAAGACCCGGAUCUCCCUCCGCCGAAUUAUGAACCAACCCAUGUCUAUUGUAUUUUGUCUGAUCUUGGUUUCUUUGUCUGCCGCCGUGAGGUUGUGCAGCUGAAAUCUUUUAAAACAACUUUUGACAACGGAUCUCUUGGCUCUC
rnacentral:misc_RNA from 1 species